rnacentral:rRNA from 1 species
GACAGAGGGGGCAAGCGUUGCUCGGAAUCACUGGGCGUAAAGGGUGCGUAGGCGGGUUUUUAAGUCGGACGUGAAAUCCCUCAGCUUAACUGGGGAACUGCGUCUGAUACUGGUUGGCUUGAGUGCAGGAGAGGAACGCGGAAUUCCAGGUGUAGCGGUGAAAUGCGUAGAUAUCUGGAGGAACACCGGUGGCGAAGGCGGCGUUCUGGACUGCAACUGACACUGAGGAACGAAAGCCAGGGGAGCAAACGGG